UCUCUCUCUCUCAUUUAUUUCAAUCAAGCUCUGAAAAAUUCAGAGCACUAUUCUCUCCCUCCCUCUCAAUUUUGUUGCUCUCUCUCUCUCUCUCUCUCUCUCUCUCUCUCUCUCUCUCUCUUGUUUCUUCAAGGAAACCUCCAUGGAAGCUUGAGAAAAUGCUUGAGAAACCAAGUUUCAAGGUCUAGAAGCUCAAGGCAGCCAUUUCUUCCCUUGUUUCUUUCUUUUCCUAGGAUUAUGAUCUAACUUGGUGAUAUUUUGGGAGAGGUUUGAAGGUAUUAAAGAAUAGUGAUGAGACCUGAAACCUGGGAGGAACACACACAACCAAAUCCUAGAACAACUAAGGUCACGAGCACAAGUAUACACAGUUGUUGUAGAAAGUAUAUAAUGAUGUUAUCCUAGCGGACAUGAGUCGAGGUUUAAUUCCAACAUUGAUUAAAUGGCUGAGAAGACUAUUCCACAGAGCUCGUAUGCAUGUGAGGAGGUAAAAGGACAAGGCAGAGACCAGUGUGGUAUGAGGACAUUACGCCAAUGGGGAAGCAUCAGAAAUUCAAGGAUCUAGUCCAAAUCCUUCAACUAAAGGAGUUGGACGAAGCGCAGUUGACAACAUUCUGUCAAUGGAGGCUGGGUGAGAUUGACAAUAGUAGGCCUAGGCGCUUGGAGGGAUGUGAUGGGACGCCUAUUUGGUCUAUGCAGUUAAAAGUUAAAAAAUUUUGCCUGGUUGACACUGUAAGUAUGAGUUCAACAAGUCUUCUACUUAAAGGUUUAUUAUAGUAAAUGACAUCAUUUUUAUCUCUUACAACACUUGGACGUCGCAAACCAUUUGAUGCGGAGACGCUUGUUCGAGUUGCCGAAGACGUAUCCUGUCAAUGCCACCAUUGUGGAUUCUAUAUUUGGCCAAACCAUGCUUGCCAUAUAUGAUGAUUGGCAGAAGAUUCCUAAUACAUACAAGUGGGAUGAUGAGCUGAUGAAGGGAGACAAAAAGAAAUUCAAGAAGUCAUGGGAUGAGUGUGAUGAGGUAUACUUCCAUAUGUCUAUCAACAACCAUUGGAUUUUAUGUGAAGCUAGUUUCAAAGAGUGGAUGAUAUCCAUCUAUGACUUGGACCACUCAAACAUCAAUCAAAAUGUGUUGGCACAUAACAUGAAUCAGCGGCGGAAGAUGCUUCCAUCUCUAUUGAAGUGUUCUGGUAUGUUGGACAAAAAUCCCCACUUGAAACUACAGCGACUGAAGCAUACCGUUGCAGAAUUUGACUGGAGGCGUAUCUCCACUAACGUAGUACCACAAUCUAAAUCAUGUGGAGAUUGCAGUGUCUUUGCAAUCAAGAACCUAGAGUUUUUGUUGGGAGACAUACCAUUAUCGUAUGCAGUGGACGAUCACAUCUAGUAUUACAGAAACAAAUUGUGUAUUAACAUAUUUUAUGAGAAUGCAUACCGUUGAUGUAUUUAUUCUCACUUCUCAGACUUUUUUUUGCUUAUACACUGUAAAGUCCUAACGAUGCAUUAGUGAUAGUUUGUCGAUGGCAUAGUGAUGCUAGAUAGUGUAUACAUUUUGUUUAUAAACUUUAAAGUUCUAACGAUGCAUUAGCGAUAGGUUAACGAUGGUAUAGCGAUAGUAUAUUGUCUAAACAUUUUGUAAAACUUGCUUACGAUGCAAUGACGAUGUCAUUACGAUUGUAGCCA